rnacentral:lncRNA from 1 species
GAUGAAGCUGGCACUUGACCUUUCACUUCACCUUUCAUUGCUUGGCUCUUCUAUAGUUUUCUACCAUAUACUUACUUAUCAAAGAAUCUUAUCUGCUCGAUCGUACCUGCUUAUGUCUUACUUGAUAGUAGAAUUCUCACUUUCAUCUAAGAGCAGCACAAACAAGCUGCCUUAAUAAGUGGGGCUCCUACUAACGACUAAGAAGAGAAGAUAAAGCAUCCGAUGUAGAGCAACUGUCUUACAUCCUCCGUGCUAAGGUAGUUGACAUCUAAAUCAUUCCUUGUUUACCCUUAAACUCGUAUUGGCCCCGUAGUUGACAUCUAAAUCAUUCCUUGUUUACCCUUAAACUCGUAUUGGCCCACCAGUUGCAUAUGCCUUUGUAGGAAGAGGAGAAGCAGAGAAACCGGCAAUUACAAGUAUUGAGUUGGCAAAGGCAAAGAGAGGACAACUGAUAAAGCAGAGGCAGAGGCCAGUAACCUUAAGAACAGGGGCGGAGUCAAGUAAAGGCUUUUCAGCAUGGGGAGUUUCUAAUUACCUGGAAAGCAGGGUUCCACAGUUUCUAUAUUCUCUUUAUAAAGAGAUCAAUGAAUUCUAUCUUUCUAGUUGUUUCAAUAGCUGGUUUGGAAGCUUGAUUAGGUGAGGAAGAAGUCCGAGUUUGUCUACUUAAGGUAAAGCUCACUGCCGCUAUUAAUUAGAAGAAUAGAAUGGAAUGGAAUUAGUUGACUACGGUAGAGUAGAUGAAUGAAGUUAUGGCUUUUGUUAGCAGAGGAUAGGUAGGCGCUUAAAUACCUUACUUGAAUUGGUCACUCUUUCACUCUUUCACUCCUGUGUAAUUGAUAACUCUAAGAAUUAAUACAUGUGGAUCUGGCUCUGCUCUAACUGCUUACUUUAGCCCGAGAUACCCGCUUGCACCAACACGGGAACUGAACCUUUCAGAAGUAACCAAGUAAUUGAGUUCGGGCAAGUUCCAGAAGUUUUCCUCUACUUCUACCUAAUAAGGGGGAAUGCACUAGCCUAUGUAUUAUGGCCCUCCUUCAACUAGUGGUAGUCCAGGUUUACAGCCCAAAGAGGGGAGGCACCUAUCAAAUUAUAUAUGAUCUUUAGAAAGAAUAACUGAUUCCACCGCUUAUGAGGAAUUCACCAGUAAAGGCCUAACUGCCGAUUCUCUCGCUCAGUACUUAAUUCAUUCCCUUCACCCUGCAACAAUACCAUCGAGAAAUCGAGACCUGACGCGCAACGAGUUCACUGACGCAUGAAUUAAGGACUAGUAUAAGCUUGUCUGCUUGUCUGGUUGGUUACUUCUUUCUAGAAUAUCUAUCUCCCAUUCAAGUACUCUCUCAUAGACUCCCAUUCAAGUACUCUCUCAUAGAACUUUGGCCAAGAACCUCUCCGCCAAUUACCUCUCCGUCAAGAAAAGAACUAGCAGGCAAAG